rnacentral:rRNA from 1 species
GACAAACGCUGGCGGAAUGUAUUAGGCAUGCAAGUCGCACGAGCCUUCGGGCUAGUGGCGGACGGGUGAGUAACACGUGGGUAACCUGCCUCGUAGUGGGGAAUAACUCGCCGAAAGGCGAGCUAAUACCGCAUAACACCCCCGGUGAGAUUCCGGGCGGUAAAAGCUCCGGCGCUACGAGAGGGGCCCGCGGCCGAUUAGCUAGUGGGUAGGGUAACGGCCUACCAAGGCGACGAUCGGUAGCUGGUCUGAGAGGAUGGUCAGCCACACGGGGACUGAGAUACGGCCCCGACUCCUACGGGAGGCAGCAGCUAAGAAUCUUGCUCAAUGGGCGAAAGCCUGAAGCAGCAAUUCCGCGUGGGGGACGAAGGCCCUCGGGUCGUAAACCCCUUUUGCGAGGGAAGAAGUUCUGACGGUACCUCGCGAAUAAGACACGGCUAACUACGUGCCAGCAGCCGCGGUAAUACGUAGGUGUCAAGCGUUGUCCGGAUUUAUUGGGCGUAAGCGCCGCAGGCGGCUCGAUAGUUCAGGUGAAACUCCCGCUCACUGGAGGGUCUGAAACAUCGGCUGGUAUGAAGGAUUGAAUCAGUUAUGUAAGGUGAUUCGAGACCAUGCAGCGAUCUGCAGUCGAG